AAGAUAUAAUCAUGCGCAUGACGGUGAAGUGGGCGUGUUUAUAUGGUGUGACGUUGUGACGUCUAGGAUGUAUUUUAGAUUAAGAAAACUGAAUAAAAACUUGCGAGAUCAGAAAGUCAGCAAAAAAAGAAAAAUGUCAAAAAUAAUAUUGUAAUUUUUUUUUUAAUAAAUAGACGACUUUUUAUUUUUUA
rnacentral:lncRNA from 1 species